GGCAGCCAUCCCACGCCCGGCCACACGUCGACCAUCCCCGAUCCUUGAGGAGGAUAAGGAGGACAACCCCCGACGUCCUAGACAAACCCUAGCUGCCAUAUCCCCUCUCCCUCACGCGUUAUCUUCUUCCCCACCCGCACCCAAGCUCCUGUCGCCAUGGACGACCUUGUCGUCGCGGCCAUCAUGCUCCCCGUCGCGUGAGAGGACGUCUAUGAGGUCCGCCGCGGUCGGAUCCAUCCGUUUCGGGGACCUGCUCAAGCCGGGACGCUCGCCAUCGCCGCCAUCUUCGCCGAUGGCCGCCACACCUCGCCGUCAAGUUCGUCGCAUCCCGGCCGCCCUGUGCCUUUGGACCAUGUCCACGAGCCUCCUG
rnacentral:lncRNA from 1 species